rnacentral:misc_RNA from 1 species
UGGUUCCGACAANGAUGAAGAACGCAGCGAAAUGCGAUAAUUAAUGUGAAUUGCAGAAUUUUGUGAAUCAUCGAAUCUUUGAACGCAUAUUGCGCCCUCUGGUAUUCCGGGGGGCACGCCUGUUCGAGCGUCAUUGAAACCAUCAAGCCCCGCUUGGUAUUGGGAUCUCCCCGGGGAAUCCCGAAAUUCAGCGGCUCGGUCGUACCGGAGAAGAACGCACGGGAUUUUACAUCAUCGUUUUUACUUUCGGGCGCCGUCGUCAACAAUCGGCUUUUUGCCAUUCUAUGAAUUGACCUCGGAUCAGGCGGGAAUACCCGCUGA